rnacentral:rRNA from 1 species
ACUCAAAUGAAUAGACGGGGGCCCGCACAAGCGGUGGAGCAUGUGGUUUAAUUCGACGCAACGCGAAGAACCUUACCUGGGCUCGAACGGCUUCUGACCAUCUUUGGAAACAGAGACUCCCCGCAAGGGGCAGGAGUCGAGGUGCUGCAUGGCUGUCGUCAGCUCGUGUCGUGAGAUGUUGGGUUAAGUCCCGCAACGAGCGCAACCCUUGUCCUGUGUUGCUAAUCCGCAAGGAUGCACUCUCAGGAGACCGCCAGCGAUAAGUUGGAGGAAGGUGGGGAUGACGUCAAGUCAUCAUGGCCUUUAUGUCCAGGGCUACACACGUGCUACAAUGGCCGGUACAAAGCGUUGCCAACCCGCGAGGGGGAGCUAAUCGCAAAAAACCGGUCUCAGUUCGGAUCGCAGGCUGCAACCCGCCUGCGUGAAGCUGGAAUCGCUAGUAAUGGCGUAUCAGAACGACGCCGUGAAUACGUUCCCGGGCCUUGCACACACCGCCCGU